UUUGAACAAUACUCGUCUCGGUCAAACUUGUGGCCAUAUUUUACAGCUGAGUGUUUUGCAAUUCGUUGACAUUCAAAUUGUUGUCCGUCCGUUCUUGCGUGGAGAUUCGCGCUGUUUUUUGUUUUUCGUCGGGCUUGUUACCGGGUCCGUUUUUUGUGUGGGUGCAGUUUUCUCUCUGCCCGCUACGGCUGCCCCGGCCUGGUCUGAUUUUUGUGUUGUUUUCAUUAUCUCCUCUCUGUUUCGAUAAGGCUGAGGCGAAGCUCGAGCGGCGGAGCAGAGGAGGAGAUUCUCCCUGUCCAUGGCGAUUUCGUGAACUUCCAGCGCUCGAGCUUCAUUUCUGUCCCCUUUCUAUUCGCUCCCCGGUGUCGCGCAAUCUAUUGAGAAAUCUUCAGCAAGCAGAGAUGGUGAUGUUCCCCCUUGCAGUGACUUGCUUUUUGAAAUGAAUGUGCAGAAAUCCUUUGGUGCUCGUUUUGGGUUUGAGGCUUCCUAGGUAGUUAUAGACCUUGUUCAAGCUAGGAACAAAGACAAGCACAAGCUAUUUGUUGAAUGGUCACAAUCCCUUAUAAUUGAUGUUCUAGAUUGCUUAUCACACUCAUCUCUGAAUGUCAAAUCUGUUCCUACAAGUGAGGUUCAUUCUUUUUAUAUGUUCUCUUCUGGUACUAAGUCUAUUUUCUAUUCACUCUUUCAUUGCUGAGAGGAACUUUGAAACUGUUGUUGACAAUCCAUCUCCUCAAGUCGAGCGGCAAAUCCCCAAUUUGAGUCCGUGCUUGAGUUCAUUUUAGCUACUGCUAUACUGGGAUCAACAUCUUCAGUGUCCUGCAACUUUUAGGGAUUUCUUUUAGUAUUUUUUUUGAAAUGUUUCUCCUUUUAUGUUCUUCAGCUGAAAAUUGUUGUGUGUACCUGUUGCAGAUUCAUGUUGUAGAACAGGUUUGUGUCCCAGGGAUUAGAUUCUCCUCCACCAUCUUCACGUCGCUGCCUCUUCAUGAUGCAAGUCUAGCUCCGAUGUCUGCAAGUUUUCCUCCUUAGUUUCCCCAAUGUUCGUAGAUCCAUCUCCGGAUCGGAAUGUACCUCAAGGUUCAUCACAAGUUUAAUUUUAAGACAUUUAGAUGAAUCGGCAAUGGAUGUACGGUCCCCGACUCUCCGGUGAGUUCACUACGGGUUUGAAAGAUUUCCUCGUAGUGGCAAAUGCGAACAAGCAGCAAGGUUUUAUUAUCUGUCCAUG